GGAAGGGUGCGUAACGCGUGAGCAACAUGCCCUAUACAGGGAGAUACACCAGGGAAACUUGGUCUAAUAUCCCAUAGCAUUCAUUGAAGGCAUCUUUAAUGAAUUAAAGCUUCGGUGGUAUAGGAUUGGCUCGCGUGACAUUAGCCAGAUGGUGAGGUAACGGCUCACCAUGGCAAUGAUGUCUAGGGGUUUUGAGAGGAAGGCCCCCCACACUGGGACUGAGACACGGCCCAGACUCCUACGGGAGGCAGCAGUGAGGAAUAUUGGACAAUGGAUGGAAAUCUGAUCCAGCCAUGCCGCGUGCAGGAAGACGGCCUUAUGGGUUGUAAACUGCUUUUAUACGGGAGCAAUAAGGGUUACGAGUAAUCCGAUGAGAGUACUGUAUGAAUAAGGAUCGGCUAACUCCGUGCCAGCAGCCGCGGUAAUACGGAGGAUCCGAGCGUUAUCCGGAAUUAUUGGGUUUAAAG
rnacentral:rRNA from 1 species